rnacentral:rRNA from 1 species
CGCAAUGGGCGCAAGCCUGACGGAGCAAGACCGCGUGGGGGAGGAAGGUUCUUGGAUUGUCAACCCCUUUUCUCAGGGAAGAACGCAAUGACGGUACCUGAGGAAAAAGCAUCGGCUAACUCCGUGCCAGCAGCCGCGGUAAUACGGGGGAUGCAAGCGUUAUCCGGAAUGAUUGGGCGUAAAGAGCCCGUAGGUAGUCAUCCAAGUCUGCUGUUAAAGAGCGAGGCUUAACCUCGUAAAGGCAGUGGAAACUGGAAGACUAGAGUGUAGUAGGGGCAGAGGGAAUUCCUGGUGUAGCGGUGAAAUGCGUAGAGAUCAGGAAGAACACCGGUGGCGAAGGCGCUCUGCUGGGCUAUAACUGACACUGAGGGACGAAAGCUAGGGGAGCGUAUGGGAUUAGAUACCCCAGUAGUCCUAGCGGUAAACGAUGGAAACUAGGUGUGGCCUGUAUCGACCCGGGCCGUGCCGAAGCAAACGCGUUAAGUUUCCCGCCUGGGGAGUACGCACGCAAGUGUGAAACUCAAAGGAAUUGACGGGGGCCCGCACAAGCGGUGGAGUAUGUGGUUUAAUUCGAUGCAACGCGAAGAACCUUACCAGGACUUGACAUCCUGCGAAUCCCUUGAAAGGGGAGAGUGCCGUAAGGAACCAGAGACCAGGUGCUGCAUGGCU